rnacentral:misc_RNA from 1 species
UCCGACUUGACGUCGGCAGUCUCGUUAGAGUGCCCCACUUAAGGCUGGCAACUAACGACAGAGGUUGCGCUCGUUGCGGGACUUAACCCAACAUCUCACGACACGAGCUGACGACAGCCAUGCAGCACCGUCUCACUAGUUCCCCGAAGGGCACCCCGCCAUCUCUGGCAGCUUCUAGUGGAUUUAACCCAGGUAAGGUUCUGCGCGUUGCGUCGAAUUGAACCACAUGCUCCACCGCUUGUGCGGGCCCCCGUCAAUUCAUUUGAGUUUUAACCUUGCGGCCGUACUCCCCAGGCGGUCAACUUAAUGCGUUAGCUCCGGUUCGGCAGGGGUCAAAUCCCGCCAAACCUAGUUCCCAUCGUUUACAGCGUGGACUAC